AAGUCACGAUUGUUUAACAAAAACAUUUCUUUUUUAUAAAAUAAAAAGUAUAACCUGCCCACUGAAAAUUUAAGGGCCGCGGUAUUAUGACCGUGCAAAGGUAGCAUAAUCACUAGCCUUUUAAUUAGAGGAUUGUAUGAAUGGUUGAACGUGGCUU
rfam:Folsomia candida strain VT population Fcan01_Sc008, whole genome shotgun sequence.